AUAUAUACAUAUAUAGUUAAGUGAGAUUCAGGUAAAAACCUCGUGGAAAGCCUUGCAAAGCUCAUCCACAGUUAUUGGCUAGCUGAGGCGUACAUGCAGU